UUCGUAGGUGGCUUGUUAAGUCAGACGUGAAAUCCCUCGGCUCAACCGGGGAACUGCGUCUGAGACUGAUGAGCUCGAGUGCAGGAGAGGAACGCGGAAUUCCAGGUGUAGCGGUGAAAUGCGUAGAUAUCUGGAGGGACACCGGUGGCGAAGGCGGCGUUCUGGACUGCAACUGACACUGAGGAACGAAAGCCAGGGGAGCAAACG
rnacentral:rRNA from 1 species